rnacentral:rRNA from 1 species
GACGUAGGGCGCGAGCGUUGUCCGGAUUUAUUGGGCGUAAAGAGCUCGUAGGCGGCUUGUCGCGUCGUCCGUGAAAACCUGUGGCUCAACUGCAGGCUUGCGGUCGAUACGGGCAGACUAGAGUACUGCAGGGGAGACUGGAAUUCCUGGUGUAGCGGUGGAAUGCGCAGAUAUCAGGAGGAACACCGGUGGCGAAGGCGGGUCUCUGGGCAGUAACUGACGCUGAGAAGCGAAAGCGUGGGGAGCGAACAGG